CACAAGUGGUAGGUCAAUCAUAUUUGGUAUGCAGUUGCAUAAGUAUUGGCACAUCUCAUUUCCAUGGAGAUUAUUUGGCCCUGCCCCCUCAGUAAUGGUCUAUUGAAUUAGAAACUUUUGAUUAUUCUAUAUGUAUUAGUUUGUGAUUAGGUCAGUUUAUGGGGAACCACAAGUGGUAGGUCAAUGAUAUUUGGUAUGCAGUUGUAUAAGCAUUGGCAUGUCUCAUUUACAUUGAGAUAAUUUGUCUCCGCCCCCUUAGUCAUGGUCUAUUGACUUUAAAACUUUUGCUUAUUUUACAUGUAUUAGUUUGUGAUUAGGUCAGUUUAUGGGGAACCACAAGUGGUAGGUCAAUUAUAUUUGGUAUGCAGUUGUAUAAGCAUUGGCAUAUCUUAUUUCCAUUGAGAUAAUUUGGUUCUGCC
rnacentral:lncRNA from 1 species